rnacentral:rRNA from 1 species
ACCCGCUGAACUUAAGCAUAUCAAUAAGCGGAGGAAAAGAAACCAACAGGGAUUGCCUCAGUAACGGCGAGUGAAGCGGCAAGAGCUCAAAUUUAAAAGCCGACGUAGCUUUAAGAGACGUCGCAUUGUAAUUUGAAGAGGCAUUCUCGGGUCGGGGCUCAGGCCUAAGUUCCUUGGAAGAGGGCGUCGUGGAGGGUGAGAACCCCGUUCGCGGCCUGCUGUCGACCUUUCCCCGAUCCACACGAGGUGCCAUCGAAGAGUCGAGUUGUUUGGGAAUGCAGCUCAAAGCGGGUGGUAAAUUCCAUCUAAAGCUAAAUAUUGACGGGAGACCGAUAGCGAACAAGUAGAGUGAUCGAAAGAUGAAAAGCACUUUGGAAAAGAGAGUUAAACAGCACGUGAAAUUGUUGAAAGGGAAGCGCUUGAGACCAGUCACGGACCGAGGCGAUCAGUGGGACGUCCCUCUCGGGGGAGGAACCGCGCACUCGCUUUUCGGGUUUUCCGGGUCAACAUCGGUUGGGACGGUGUCAGAAAGGUCGCGGGAACGUGGCUCCCUUCACGGGGAGUGUUAUAGCCCGUGGCGUCAAAGUCGCCAGUUUCGACCGAGGACCGCGCUCGUCUUUUUCGAGCAAGGAUGUUACGUAAUGGUCCC